rnacentral:lncRNA from 1 species
GGCUUCCAAUUCCAAUGAGAAUAUCCACAUAGGUUCCCAAUUCACUGAUUUGUCUGCCACGAUAAUGACCACGGCCCUUGGGAAUACAUCCACUAGGACACCUGAUUCAGGAUUUAGGGCACCCCCAGAUGAAGUUAAUACCGCGAACGGAAACAUAGAUGUUAUGGAACUAGUUGCAGAUGAAGCACUGGUAGUGCAGAGGUCCCUGGAGUACAAAGUUAGGAAAAUGGUUCAAGACGAGAUGACUGAAGUUAGGAAGACAAUAGGAGAUCUGGCGAAAGCAAUCAAUAAUUUGGCAAAAGGUACGAAUGCGGGUACGCCAGCUGCAAUAGGUAACAAUACUGGAAACGGAAAUAACGUACCUGGAAAUGUAAAUAAUGAAAACAGAGCAAAUCCAAGAAAUGAAAACGCAUAUUUACCUCUUCCAAACCAAUUCGUGCCUGAAAAUUCAAUUCCCCCAAUGAAUUUUACCACACAACAUGAUAACAGAAUAUCAUCUAACGGAAAUACUUCCUUUGAUUUCCAUCAAAUUUGAAUAGACAAAUUUGGAAUAGUGUUUGAUAAUAAGACCAUGGGUAUAGAUGAUUUUAUCUUCCGGUUAGAACAUCUGUGAACCCAUUACAACAUUCCAGAUAGGGAAAUGUUGUAAACAAUAUUUAAGAUAUCCGUUCACCUACUGACAUAUUCCUACGAAUCUGUCAUUGGCCUAUCUUGGUAGCAUUUUUAAUAAACAAUAUUUAAGAUAUACGUUCACCUACUGACAUAUUCCUGCGAAUCUGUCAUUGACCUAUCUUGGUAGCAUUUUUAAUACUUCACACCUCUAGUUAUAUUCCAGAGCGGCUAUUAAAAUGUUUCCCUGGGCUGCAAACACUAUACUUAAGGAUUACAAAUAUAUAAAAAAAUGUUCUAAAUAAGUGUAUUAUCAGUUACGAUAAGGUAUUUUUUGAACUCUUAUCAUUCAUGUCUCGUAUUCAAAACUAACAAAUAAACAAUAUUUAAGAUAUCCGUUCACCUACUGACAUAUUCCUACGAAUCUGUCAUUGACCUAUCUUGGUAGCAUUUUUAAUACUUCACACCUCUAGUUAUAUUCCAGAGCGGCUAUUAAAAUGUUUCCCUGGGUUGAAAACAGUACACUUAAGGAUUACAAAUAUAUAAAAAAAUGUUCUAAAUAAGUGUAUUAUCAGUUAUGAUAAGCUCCGAAAGUGUUUACCUACAUGACCAGUACUACUGACUUCCGAAUUUCUAAUCCAGAACGGCUACAGAUCUUAACAAGUAAUCAGAUUUGGAACUAAAAGUUUGUUUUGGGCUAUGGACUUUUACACUAAUGGUCUAUUAAAUUGUGUGUAGGUUUUCAUACACAAUAUUACAUGACAAGUUGGCGUUUUACGCCUUCUUUAUCCUAUUUGUUUGGGCGCCAUAUUGUUAGCUGACCUUUGGCAGCGCUUGGUUAAAUCCUGGCCGACUAACUUUUCGCAUGACACACUCAGAGGUGGUCUCUCCCUUCAACCUAGCCUCAGGGCAGUACCAAUUAAUGAUGAAGUCACUAACUUUACAGAAACUAACACGAUUACACUACAUUGAGACAUGACCACAACAGGAGAAUUCCCCAUUACAAAUAAAUUUCAAUACAAAAAGGAAGCAUAAAUUCAAUCAUCCGUUUUACUACUACGUACCCUACUGUAGCAAUCAUUCACAAUAGUCUGCAACAAGUAAAACAUAUACGAACGUUUACCAACACUGGAUAACAUAUGUUUCAUGUUUUACAAUCAAAACAAAAAAAGGGAAAAGUAAAAACAGCGGGGCUUAACUGCGAUCCGUAUGUCCCACUAAGGUCCCCCACGCAAAAUUUUUUUCACAUACACCCUACAGUCGGCACCCCCAGAGUCCCACCGCAACAUAUGUUACCAUAGAUUGAUUAAACUUCGAAUUGUUAUCUUCAGCUCCAAUUUCUGAACUAUUUUAAAAUUCAGUUUAAUAUAAUUCGCUUUAUUUUUAAUAUUUUUUUUUAAUUUUCGCGUCUAAAUCUAUGGCAGAAAUAAUUUAUAUAUAACGCGAAAUAAUUUGUAUAUAACAACGAAAAAUUCUAUUUUGAAACACAGUAAUACCCCGUUCAUUCGAUGCAAUUGUAAAUUAUUCACACUCUCAUUCGUCAUUCAAAUCCUAAUUACAAACUGAAUAACAUGAUUGGACAUACAAAAUUUCAACUGCGAAUUACACAAGAUGUACGUAAAUCAAGUUGAAUUAAUUACGAAUGAAUGAGUGUCAUCUCUAAAUUUUUUUGGUGUAUUUAUCAUAAUCGGCAGUUCGUUUUCAUUGGUUGGAGACAAAUUAAAAAUAAUAUUACAAAAAAUAUUACAAUGUUAAACUUUUUAAUAUAAAAAUUAUAUUAUAAUCAAAGAACUCAUCCAUAUUAAUAGAUUGGGUUUUAAAUCAAAAAAAUCUGAUAUAAACUCUCAAAGAUAUAAGCUUUCAAAAUUGUGUACCUUUUUAUUUUUUGUAGUUUUCGAACAAUUUUUAAGUUAGCAAACAGAGCCAUGAAAAACUUGAAGUAAACCGAAGAGCUUUGCCUAUGUAAAAUUUUAUAAAUUUUAAGAAAAAACUUUAUCUGAACAAUUACUUUUAGCAAAAUAAAGUAAAUUAUUUGUUGUAUUUUUUUAAAAAUCGUUAUAAUAAUU